CUACUAUGCCCCACAACUAUUACUGUUUUUCAUCAACAUAUUCUCCUUAUAAGAGCUUCCUGGUCUGCCCAUCAUAUAAAUUUGUAGUAGAAAUAGAUUUUUCAUAUUUGUACACUGGAAAAUCUUUAUUCUAGAAACUGCUUAAUUGCCAAGACCAAAUAUAUAUUACCUAAGGUAGGGGUUAUAUGCAUGGAAAAAACAAAACAAAACUCUUAGUACUAGUCAAAAACUAACUCCUUUCUCCUCAUUACAUAUUUGCAAUCAAGCAUAUAAAUUGUGUAUCAUAUUGUGCUUUGACCCAAAAUUUUCAGAAAUGAAUGAUCCCAAGUAUGCCUAUCCAUACCCUGCACAAGGGUAUUAUCAAGGUCCCCCAGUGAUGGCACCACCUCAAUAUGCUGCUCCACAGCCCAGAAGACAGAGUGCUGGAUUUCUUGAGGGAUGUUUUGCAGCUCUGUGUUGUUGUUGUCUCAUAGAUGAGUGUUGCUGCGACCCUUCAAUCUUAUGUAUCUUCUGAUCUUAUGAAGUUUCUGCAUCUAGAAAAAUAUAAAUAAAUUAAAAAGCUAUUAGUUAUUUAUUGGUUUUAGUUUGUUUGAAAUUUUUAAUUGUAUUAUUGUAAAUCUGGUUUUAAUUUUUCAAAUUGGCUAUAAAAGUUAUGUAUCUUCGUGAA